rnacentral:lncRNA from 1 species
AUUUCACAUUUUAGGACUUAUAGCACAGUGCUGAAUACUAAAAUUGAUCCUGGAUGUCCUUUCAUGUUUCACCAUAAUAAAAACGGUUCUAAUGUUUCAUCAUUGCAUGAAUGUUUGUCAGAGUUAAGGUAAAUUACCUUUUAUCAAAUUAAAGAAGUUUCCCCUUAAUCGUAUUUUACAGGAACGUGAAGUAGAAGGUUCAUUCGCUCAGAAAAUGCAACACAAUACCAACAUUGUUUGUAUCUCUGUGUCAGAAUAAAAAUGGAUUGAUCUUAGUUAGAAAGUUAUUUAUAAAAAUAGGAAUGGUGUUAGGUUUUAUCAAAUGCUUAUUUGGUAUCUGUCUGAUAGGAGUUCCCCCAUUUUGUAAGUUUUGAAUGAAAUAAUAACCGUUUUAAUACUGAACCAUCUUUUCAUUGUGUAGUUAUGUAUUAUUUUAAUACAGUGUUGGAUUCUACUUGCUUCUAUUUAUUGAAAGUUUUCUCAUUUUUGUUUAUGGGGCUGAGUGUGUUUUCACUUCCCACGCAUUUCUAUUGUGCUUUUCUAUCAGCACCUUUUACCUUAACAACAAGGAGUUGUCUUCCCCACCCUUCCCCAUGCUGAGAUGAUGUGAGCUUUAGUUUCAGAAGAUUAUUAGUUGACUUUGUUACGCAUCAGCAGUCAUUUCCCUUAGCUGUAUUUUACUAUCAGCCCUCCUUUCUUCUUGCCGCUGGCUCUUCUCCCAUGCCUUCCUUGUUAAUUUUUAUUCGCUUUUCAUUUGGCUGAUGUCUAUCUUCUAGAGAGUCUCUUUGUUCACAUCUGUGGGUGGGAAAGCUCUUAGAAUCCUUGAAUGUCUAAAAAUAUGUUUAUUCCCACAUAAAAUCUAAUUUUACGGAGCAUUGGAAUCUCAAUUCAAAAUGAUUUUCCUUUAAAACCGCUGCCUUCUACCAGUCAGUAUGAACCAAGGACAACAUCUUCCUUGCACUUCCUGUGGCCAUGCUGGUUUAACCUGUUACGGCUUCUCAGCUUUGUUUCCUGCUGGCUGAGCUGGGGGCUCUCCCUCUAUUGUGGGUUUUCUUCGCCUGCCAUACGACUCCAGGCAUCUGCUUGUCUUUGUCUCUGAAAUCCUUUUGGCCUGUGGGUGGGGGGUGUUUCUAGCUGCAGGAUGGGGUCCCUGGUGGCGUGAGUGAGGUUGGGAUGAGCUGUUUGCCGGCCUGUGCGUAGGGAGUGUUUCUAGCUGCAGGACAGGGUCCCUUGUGGUGUUGUAGAUUAGAUAAACUACAUCUAUUACAACCAUAUGAGUGAGGUUGGGAUGAGCUGUUUGCUGGCCUGUGGGUGGGGCGUGUUUCUAGCUGCAGAAUGGGGUCCCUGGUGGUGUGAGUGAGGUCGGGAUGAGCUGUUUGCUGGCUGUUGAGACCAGCUCGGUCGGGGAGACCCUAACCCAGUGGUGCUA